rnacentral:rRNA from 1 species
CCUACGGGGGGCUGCAGUGGGGAAUAUUGCACAAUGGGCGCAAGCCUGAUGCAGCGACGCCGCGUGAGCGAUGAAGGCCUUCGGGUCGUAAAGCUCUGUCCUAAGGGAAGAAUAAUGACGGUACCUUAGGAGGAAGCCCCGGCUAACUACGUGCCAGCAGCCGCGGUAAUACGUAGGGGGCGAGCGUUAUCCGGAAUCACUGGGCGUAAAGGGUGCGUAGGCGGCCCUGCAAGUCAGGAGUUAAAUCCCUCGGCUCAACCGAGGUCAGCUCUUGAAACUGUAGGGCUUGAGUGCAGGGGAGAGGGGGGGAAUUCCUAGUGUAGGGGGGAAAUGGGUAGAUAUUAGGGGGAACACCAGGGGGGAGGGGGGAUAUCGGGACUGCAACUGACGCUGGGGCACGAAAGCGUGGGGGGCGAACAGGAUUAGAUACCCUUGUAGUC